UACCCGCAGCACAAGUGGUGGUCAUUAUUAUUGGGCCUAAAGCGUCCGUAGCUGGCUUGUUAGAUGCCUGGGUAAAUCGAUGCGCUCAACGUAUCGAACUCCGGGUAGACCGGCAGGCUUGGGACCGGGAGAGAUGCGAGCUACUCGAGGGGUAGGGGUAAAAUCCUGUAAUCCUUCGGGGAGGACCAGUGGCGAAGGCGUCGCAUUAGAACGGCUCCGACAGUGAGGGACGAAGCCCUGGGGCGCAAACCGG
rnacentral:rRNA from 1 species